CGUGAAAUUGUUGAAAGGGAAGCGCUUGCAAUCAGACUUGCGCGCUGUUGAUCAUCCGAGGUUCUCCCCGGUGCACUCGGCAGCGCUCAGGCCAGCAUCGGUUUCGGCGGGCGGAUAAAGGCCUUGGGAAUGUAGCUUCUUUCGGGGAGUGUUAUAGCCCUCGGUGCAAUGCGCCCUGCUGGGACCGAGGACCGCGCUUCGGCUAGGAUGCUGGCGUAAUGGUUGUAAGCGACCCGUCUUGAAACACGG
rnacentral:rRNA from 1 species